rnacentral:lncRNA from 1 species
UUUGGUAGGCAUCAACACAAGUUACAAGCAAUCUUCCAAACAUGGUUUUGCUCUAUUGUAAUUUCAAAAUGAGUCCUCCAUGCAUGUCCUUGCACCCUCAAUAUAGAAAAAGCUUGAAUCUUCAUGUAUGGGCCUCGAAUGAUGUUAUCAAAAGUUAUGAUGGCCCUUUGACUCGUAUCAUCCUCCCCUUCUUGAAAAGGAAUUGACCUCGAAUCCACACCUUGUAAAACCAAAGAAAGGACAAAAAAGCACAACAUCCUCAUGGCAUGAGGG